rnacentral:rRNA from 1 species
UACAUGGGGUGCAAACGUUGCUCGGAAUUAUUGGGCGUAAAGCGCACGUAGGUGGUCUGUUAUGUCAGAUGUGAAAGCCCUCGGCUUAACUGAGGAAGUGCACCUGAAACUGGCAGGCUUGAGUACGGAAAGAGGGUCGCGGAAUUCCCGGUGUAGAGGUGAAAUUCGUAGAUAGUCGGGAGGAACACCGGUGGCGAAGGCGGCGACCUGGUUCGAUACUGACGCUCAGGCGCGAGUAGCGUGGGGGAUUCAAACAG